GCCGGGUUUGGAUGGCUGCUGGUUAUAAAAGGAACGAUGAGACAGAAUGCACUUCAGUGUGUUUUACCUCACUUUUGGUAUACAGUUCCAGCUUCGUCUCCUGAAGGAGAACGAGGUAAAUGACCACGAGGGUUGUUUUAACCAGCAUAGCUCGUCCGGUGGCGAAUUCUGAUGUUCGGCGACUCUGAUUGGCCGAGGCGAUGAGCGCUUCCAUAAACUGGAGCUGGACAGUACUCAACUCACUCCCACCAGGUCGACAUGACGUCCUUGCUAGUUAACGUCGUCGUGGGUUGAUUAGACUUGCCCUACUGCUCGGCCGACCACAGCUAGACAAGGGAAGGCAACGAAGACCGUCUCGGGGUACUGAAGAACGUUGGUAAAAUUAGAUGGUGACCUCUUAUGUAGAAAUAAUUGGUAAAUUGAAAGAAAGUAAUGACCAAUAACGACGGCAUGAAGUGGCGCGAUAUUGCCUGUCACCACGUGAAGUCUGUCGCCUGUAAGACCAGCCUUUGAUAGUUUUCUGCCAAAAAAUAGCCUCGUUUCCUGAAUGAUGUAAAAUAUUAAAAUAUUUAACUAGCU